rnacentral:rRNA from 1 species
GCAACUCGCCUGCAUGAAGUUGGAAUUGCUAGUAAUCGCGAAUCAGAAUGUCGCGGUGAAUACGUUCCCGGGCCUUGUACACACCGCCCGUCACACCAUGAGAGUCGGGAACACCCGAAGUCCGUAGCCUAACCGCAAGGGGGGCGCGGCCGAAGGUGGGUUCGAUAAUUGGGGUGAAGUCGUAACAAGGUACC